rnacentral:rRNA from 1 species
UACGGAGGGGGCUAGCGUUGUUCGGAAUUACUGGGCGUAAAGCGCGCGUAGGCGGACUGUUAAGUCGGGGGUGAAAUCCCGGGGCUCAACCCCGGAACUGCCUUCGAUACUGGCGGUCUAGAGGUCUGGAGAGGUGAGUGGAAUUCCGAGUGUAGAGGUGAAAUUCGUAGAUAUUCGGAGGAACACCAGUGGCGAAGGCGGCUCACUGGCCAGAUUAUGACUAUGAGGUGCGAAAGCGUGGGGAGCAAACAGG